UACGUAGGGCGCAAGCGUUGUCCGGAAUUAUUGGGCGUAAAGAGCUCGUAGGCGCCUGUCGCGUCGGCUGUGAAAACCCAGGGCUCAACCCUGGGCCUGCAGUCGAUACGGGCAGACUAGAGGUAUGCAGGGGAGAACGGAAUUCCUGGUGUAGCGGUGAAAUGCGCAGAUAUCAGGAGGAACACCCGUGGCGAAGGCGGCUCUCUGGGACGGUACUGACGCUGAGACGUGAAAGCGUGGGGAGCGAACAGG
rnacentral:rRNA from 1 species